rnacentral:rRNA from 1 species
UGAGGAAUAUUGGACAAUGGGUGAGAGCCUGAUCCAGCCAUCCCGCGUGAAGGACGACGGCCCUAUGGGUUGUAAACUUCUUUUGUAUAGGGAUAAACCUACUCUCGUGAGGGUAGCUGAAGGUACUAUACGAAUAAGCACCGGCUAACUCCGUG